UACGGAGGGUGCGAGCGUUAAUCGGAAUGACUGGGCGUAAAGGGUGCGUAGGCGGCUUGAUAAGUUGAGUGUGAAAUCCCUGGGCUUAACCUGGGAGUGUCAUUUAAUACUGUUGAGCUAGAGUACGGGAGAGGGUAGUGGAAUUUCCGGUGUAGCGGUGAAAUGCGUAGAGAUCGGAAGGAACACCAGUGGCGAAGGCGGCUACCUGGCCUGAUACUGACGCUGAGGCACGAAAGCAUGGGGAGCAAACAGG
rnacentral:rRNA from 1 species